AAAGUUAUGAGACAGAUGCGAAAAUUAAAGUGUCCAUUUCAAACAUUCAACCAUCAGAUGCUGAGCUACACGAUGACAAAUUCGCUGAUCUAGUGAUCUCUCUGUCCUCUUGUAGAAUCAGCCCAGAAUGUGUUAACGAAACAGACAGCUGGUUACCUAGAAGGGAUCUGCCACAACAAAAUGUUACAGUAUCUGUUGAAACAGACCCCCCAAACCCAGUGCCAGUACGACCUGUUCGGCAGUCAACAUACGAUAUUGUUCCAUUAACAUGUCCAGAUGAUUGUCUUAUCAUGUACCCUGUUGCAUCAGGGAAAUUUGCAUUUCGUUUAAAAGGUGUUGGAUCCUAUAUGCUUCACUACAUGUACCAAGAAAUAAACCGCACGUUGCUUCUGCAGGGUCGUGACAUAUUACAGUAUUUGACGUCGGUGAAUAAUUCUAUGGCAAGCACCGAAAUUUACUAUGAACCUACUGGCCUUAAUGUCGAUGAUCCAGUUGAAAUGGAGUACUUGAAACAAAACAUGCCAUUAAAGAUGACACCUAGUAUUGUGCAUAGACUUACAAAGAGUUUGAUGUUCAAGCCAAAACCUCAAAACUCAGUAAUGGAAAACCUCAUGAAUGAACUCAGAAUUAAUUAGUAAAAGAAAAUCCUUAUCACUGUUAUUAAAGGUUAAAGGGCAGUUACGGUGUAAGGAAUAAGUAUACAUGUAUAUGAUGUGUUUACACUUGUCUUGAAAUUUUGUUGAAACUUUAUACACAUAAAUUUUGUUGGUUCUGCUUGUUUUAAAGUUUACUUGUACCGAAUGCAGCAUAUUUUUUACAAAGGUGGCUAAGUGUAAAUAGCAUAUGUGUAAAAAAGAAUGUAUACUUUGUGUGUAUUUAAGCAUAUUUGUAGCUGCCAAGGUAUCCCAUAUUGGCAACUCCCCAAGAAGAUCAUUAGUAUUUUUAGUGGGAGGAUAGUGCAAGUUAUAGAAUAUGCUCCAGUUCCAUAAGCUGCCCUGGUCCUUUAGCAUGCCAGGUGUAAAGCAUCAAUACACGAGACUCUUAUCCCAAUACUAGUAAUUUCUAGUUAGAUGAGUGGGGUCUCUGACUCACAACCCCUUGGAAUAAAGUUUCAAGCUGCCUGCUGACUGAACGAACAUGAUUAUGCUAGCCAGAUGCUUGCUUCUUUUUGAUGUAAUGCCAGGAGUGUCAACUAGGGUCUUUGCUAUAUGCAUAUCAUUAUGAGCCCGCCCGCUUAGCGCAGUAGGUAAGAGCUUCGGUCUACGGAUCGCGGGGUCGCGAGUUCGAUCCUGGGGCGGGACGUAUGUUCUCCGUGACUAUUUGAUAAACGACAUUGUGUCUGAAAUCAUUAGUCCUCCACCUCUGAUAAUUCAUGUGGGGAAGUUGGCAGUUACUUGCAGAGAACAGGUUUGUACUGGUACAGAAUCCAGGAACACUGGUUAGGUUAAAUGCCCGCCGUUACAUGACUGAAAUACUGUUGAAAAAUGGCGUUAAACCCAAAACAAAGCAGAUCAUUAUGUCUCCCCCAACCGAUGGAGGCAUAUUGUUUUUGCCCUGUCCGUCCAAUAACUUGAGAACCAUUUGACCUAGAAUCUUCAAACUUCAUAGGAUGGCAGGGCUUAUGGAGUAGACGACUCAUAUUGCUUUUGGGGUCACUCCAUCAAAGGUCAAGGUCACAGGGGCCUGAACAUGGAAAGCCAUUUCCGAUCAAUAACUUGAGAACCACUUGACCCGGAAUGUUGACACUUGAUAGGGUGAUUGGUCAUGCAGAGUAGAAUGACCCCUGUUGAUUUUGGGGGUCACUGUUUAAAGGUCAAGGUCACAGGGGCCUGAACAAGGAAGUCCAUUUCCAAUCAGUAACUUAAAAACCACUUGACCCAGAAUGUUGAAAUUUCAUAGGAUAAUUGGUCAUGGAGAGUAGAUGAACUCUAUUUAUUUUGGGGUCACUCUGUUAAAGGUCAAGGUCACAGGGGCCUGAACAUGAAAAACCAUUUCUGAUCAAUAACUUGAGAACGGCUAGGCCCAGAAUGUUGGAACUUCAUAGGAUGAUUGGACAUGCAGAGUAGAUGAGCCCUAUUGAUUCUGGGGGUCACUCCAAUAAAGGUCAAGGUCACAGGGGCCUGAACAUGGAAAACCGUUUCCGGUCAGUAUCUUGAGAACCACCUGGCCCAGAUUGUUGAAACUUCAUAGGAUGAUUGGUCAUGCAAAGAUGACCCCUAUUGAUUUAGGGUCACUCUAUUAAAGGUCAAGGUCACAGGGGCCUGAACAAGGAAAACCAUUUCCGGUCAGUAACUCGAGAACCACUUGACCCAGAAAGUUGAAACUUCAUAAGAUGAUUGGACAUGCAGAGUAGAUGGCCCGUAUUGAUUUUGGGGUGACUCUGUUAAAGGUCAGGUCGCAGUGGAUAAAAAAUGGAAAUCUAUUUCCGGUUUAUAACUUGAGAACCAUUUGACCUAGAACCUUCGAACUUCAUAGGGAGAUAGGAAUUACAGACAAGGUGACCCCUAUUGUUUUUGGGGGUCACUCCAUCAAAGGUCAAGGUCACAGGGGGCUGAACAUGGAAAACACUUUUCAAACAAUAACUUUGGAACCACUUAACCCAGAAUGUUGAAACUUAAUAGGAUAAUUGAGCAUGCAGAGUAGAUGACCCCUAAUGAUUUUGGGGUCACUUGAUUAAAGGUCAAGGUCACAGGAGUCUGAACAUGGAAAACCGUAUCUAAUUCAUAACUUGAGAAACACUAGGCUCAGAAUGUUGAAACUUAGUAGGAUGAUUGGACAUGCCAAGUAGGGGAUCCUUUUGCAGCCAACCAUCAGUGUCUCUUUGACUUUCGCUCUUGUCCCUUAUUGACUUCUUGCAUAUAAACUAUGCAUUGGAGGAGACAUGCGCUUUUUUAUAAAAGCAUCUUCUAGUUAAAUUAUAUCAAUAUAUUAAAAAUAGAGCAAAAAAAGUACAGUAUCCUUUGUGGCAUUGGCAGGUCUUGUAUUACCCAUGUAAUUUCUUUUUAUCAACAUUGUAUUAUAACCAUUUUCCAUAAAACAAUGACUCUGUACUAUCACCUAUUUGUCAGAUAUUACAUUACAUUUUAUAAUGUUGUAUAUGUAUUUUUGAUACAUUUAUUUUUAAUGUUAACAGGAAUUUUAGUUCAUCUGUGUAUAUGGCGCUCUGCAUGUGCUAUUAUGAUUGUCCUGUGUCUGUCGUGUGUUAUGUGUCAUUGACAGAUUUACUGUUUACACUCUUACAGUUAGUGUGCUGGUUAAUCAGAGUGUAGAUGAUUCAUGAAUAGAUGACUUAUGACAUAAUCAUUUACAAAUUUUUCAUACUUUAUGAAUUUUAAUGUCCUUAUAAUGACCCAAAACAAGCUAAUUUUAAUCAAUUUAGAUAACUCUUGGUUUGUGUUGUUGACCAAUUUACUGUCAACACUCUAACAAGUCAGUAUUUUGUGGUGUUGUGCUAAUUAUUCAUGGUGUAGAUGAUUCAUGAAUAGAUGGUUUAUGACAAGUCAUGAUCAUUUACAAAAUUAUGUCACCCCCACCCCCCUCUGGGGGGACAUAUUGUUUUUGCCCUGUCCGUCCGUACGUACGUCACACUUCAUUUCCGAUCAAUAACUGGAGAACCAUUUGAUCUAGAACCUUCAGCCUUCAUAGGGUUGUAGGGCUGCUGGAGUAGACGACUCCUGUUAUUUUUGGGUCACUCCGUCAAAGGUCAAGGUCACAGGGGCCUGAACAUUAAAAACUAUUUCCGAUCAAUAACUAGAGAACCACUUGACCCAGAAUAUUGAAAUUUCAUGGGAGGAUUGUACAUGAAAACAAAAGUAGAUGACCCCUAUCAUUUUUGGGGUCACUCCGUCAAAGGUCAAGGUCACAGGGGCCUGAACAUUGAAAACAAUUUCCGACCAAUAACUUGAGUACCACUUGACCCAGAAUGUUGAAACUUCAUAGGAUGAUUCAUUGAUUGUACAUGCAAAGUAGAUGACACCUAUUGAUUUUGGGGUCACUCUAUUAAAGGUCAAGGUCACAGGAGCCUAAACAAGGAAAACCGUUUCCGGCCAGUAACUUGAAAACCACUCUACCCAGAAUGUUGAAACUUCAUAAGAUGAUUGGACAUGCAGAGUAAAUGAUGCCUAUUGCUUUUGGGGUCACUCCAUUAAAGGUCAAGGUCACAGGGGCCUGAUCAUUGAUAACCAUUUCCGAUCAAUAACUUUAGAACCUCUUGAUCCAGAAUGUUGAAACUUCAUAGGAUGAUUCAACAUGCAGAGUGGAUGACCCCUAUUGAUUUUUGGGUCAGUCUGUUAAAGGUCAAGGUCACAGGGGCCUGGUCAUGUAAAAUCAUUUCCGGAAAAUAUACUCAGCGUCACUGAAAAGUUACCACCUAAUAUAUACCUCUUUACUAUUUUAUACAAUAUUGACGCCACUUUUUCAUGGCCUGUGCGCGCUCUAUUAAUCAUAGACCCUGUCUGAUCAUGUCUCCUAACCCAUUUCAUGACUGUCAGGUGAGAACAGCAUAUACGGCGUGCAAUUUCGUGACAUGAAAGUUCGGCGUCAACCAUGCCAAUGGCCUGAUGGCGUUGAUCGUGCCUUAAACGUGGCAUUCUUAGCAAGGAUAUUCUAGUUUUUUAACGUAUUCCUUUUAGUCUGUCGACUUACUUUCAAGUGCGAUGAGUGAUUUGCGAUAGAAAAUUCGUACAUGUCGACAUCGUUGGAAAAAUGGAAGACUUCAGUAUUUGGCUUAAUUUGCAAGAAAGUUAGAAUGUUUACAUAUAUAAAAUAGCUGAUAUUGGGUCCAAAACUAGCUCACUAGGCAAAAUCAUAGAAAAAACUUUUUUUCACUGUAAAUAGCACAGUUUUACCUAAUUUUCAUGUAACCUGGUCAAAAUGCUUGUCUGCAUGAAAUCUAGGUCAAGUUUGAAACUUGGUUGGAUCAAACAUGAAUUCAUUAGGUCAGAUUACAGACAGAAACAUGUCAACACUCUCAUACAAAGGUGGUUACAUUAUUUGAUUUUUAGUUCACCUGUCACAAAGUGACAAGGUGAGCUUUUCUGACCGCGCAGCGUCCGUCGUCCGUCGUCCAUGCGUCCGUCCGUGCGUAAACUUUUGCUUGUGACCAAUCUAGAGGUCACAUUUUUCAUGAGGUCUUUAUGAAAAUUGGUCAGAAUGUUUACCUUGAUGAUAUCUAUGUCAAGUUCGAAACUGGGUCAUGUUCGGUCAAAAACUAGGUCAGUAGGUCUAAAAAUAGAAAAACCUUGUGACCUCUCUAGAGGCCAUAUAUUUCACAAGAUCUUCAUGAAAAUUGGUCUAAAGGCCAUAUUUUUCAGGGAUCUGUAUGAAAGUUGGACUAAAUGUUCAUCUUGAUGAUAUCUAGGUCAAGUUCAAAACUGGGUCAUGUGCCUUGAAAAAGGUCAGUAGGUCAAAUAAUAGAAAAACCUUGUGACCUCUCUGAAGGCCAUAUUUUUCAUGGGAUCUGUAUGAAAGGUGGUCUGAAUGUUCAUCUUUGACGUGCGGUCAAAAACUAGGUCAGUAGGUCUAAAAAUAGAAAAACCUUGUGACCUCUCUAGAGGCCAUACUUGUGAAUGGAUCUUUAUAAAAAUUGGUCAGAAUGUUCAUGUUGAUAAUAUCUAGGUCAAGUUCGAAACUGGGUCACAUGUCUCAAAAAGUAGGUCAGUUAGGUCAAAUAAUGAAAAAACCUUGUGACCUCUCUAGCGGUCAUAUUUUUCAUGGGAUCUGUAUGAAAAGUGGUUUGAAUGUUGACCUUGAUGAUAUAUAGGUCAAAUUCGAAACUGGGUCAUGUGCGGUCAAAAACUAGGUCAGUAGAUCUAAAAAUAUAAAAACUUUGUGACCUCUCUAGAGGCCAUAUAUUUCACAAGAUCUUCAUGAAAAUUGGACAGAAUGUCAACUUGAUGAUAUCUAGGUCAAGUUCGAAACUGGGUCACGUGCCGUCAAAAUCUAGGUCAGUAGGUCAAAUACAGUGUAACUUCCGAAAACCGAACGACCUCCGGACCAGCCUAAAAGUUCGGUUUUUGGAAGUUUCCGGAAUUCAGAAGUUUGAAAGUUUGUAGGCAAAGUGGACGUGGUGCACAAGAGUUAGGUUUUCUUACACGUAGGAUGAAGGAGUUUUUUAUCCUUUUUAAUUUUAUAAUUUCAUAUUAAUUAAUUAUAUAAAUAAAUAAUUAAUUAUUUACAAACAUUAAGGAUAAUAAAUACAUAAAUAACAAGUAUAAAAAGAAACAACAGAACUUUAAUAAUAGCAUUUACGCAAACAUUUUCCACUUUACAAACAUUAAGGAUAAUAAAUACAUAAAUAACAAGUAUAAAAAGAAACAACAGAACUUUAAUAAUAGCAUUUACGCAAACAUUUUCCACUUACAUUUUACCAUCUUUGGAGUCCCGAGUUCGUCAACAUUAAAUUUUAAUUAAUGUUGAUAUUGCAUAGUUUAAUCGAUGUAACUAAUCAUUUAAAACAUCUAUCUUUCUUUUGUUCAAACAUUAAGAAAGUUUUUAACACAUAAGAUACUUAAUUCAUCACGUUUUCAUAAAUUGAAUACAAAUGAAAAUAAUCGCUAAUUACUUUCUUACU